AAUGGUUGUUUUACUUUUCUUCUUGUGAAGUGAAUGUUGAGUCUGUAGCCUCUCCCAGGCCAUGUGCGUCUUUGCCCAGCAUUGGUGACUCCCAGGACACAAUCAUCCUUCCUGUUAGUCCUGCUACAAAGUGUCAGUGGUUGGAUGACGAGGCUAAGCAUUUGGUGAAAGGCAUUCUUUCCAAAAAGCCCGAGGGAAAAGGGUAAUAAUGGAGAACAAUCGAACAGUCUUUGGCAUAUGACACCCGAAAAAAAAUGGUGAACAUUCUUGCUGCUGACAUAACAGAGAAAAAUGGUACAUCUCCAUCCAGACAAGUGAAAGAAAAAUA